GUCCCCUUCGUCUAGAGGCCUAGGACACGUCCCUUUCACGGAUGUAACAGGGGUUCGAAUCCCCUAGGGGACGCCA
rnacentral:tRNA from 3 species